AACAAAAUCACAAUCAGCAGCAGGAUUAAUUCUACAUCAGUUCAAUUCAGUCAUUGAUAAACAGCAAUAAAUUAUAUUGGUUGUGUUUGCAUGCCACAUCCAACUGAACUGUAGAUGACUAGUUUGUGGUUCACCGUAUUAUACAAACCUAGCCUGUAUUGCUAUAUACAGUAUAAGUCCAUGCAAUAGAGUUUACUUCUAGAUAGAUGUGCUAUCAAAUGAUUUUUAUUUUAAGAAUGGAAAAGUCAGUUUAAAGUUAGGGCUUCAUAAUAAACACGGAAUAGAUAAGGUUACAGAGCUAGACUAUUUAUGCUGUUCAGUAUAAAUGAGGUGACAACGUUGGCUCACCUUAGAAGUUAAAUAGUGUUAGCUCUGGUUGGUACUUGGAUGAAGCUCUGGGAAUUUCAGAGCUGUUGGUUAGACUAGGAAGUUGGGGGGGGAAAAACUUGAAAGAAGAUAAUGGCAAACGACUUCUAUAAUGGGGCCAAGAAAAGUGCAUGAAUGAAGUCUUUAGGAGCUGAGCUCAACUCAAGGAUAUCAUUACCGUUUUAAAGAUACCACAGAAGUACAGAUACCAUUGUGGAGAAUAUAGUUAGCUCAGGGUUGGAGCGUCAGGUUGUAAGAGUUCUCUGAUCUUGGUUUUCUUUUUUCAGAUGUUUCAUUGCCUGCCUUGGUAAUAUUUUCAGUACUAUGAUCUUGGAGAAGUGCGGUCUGCUAGAGUUGUGGAAUAUACCUGUCCUACUAGCCUUGUAUGUGAUUGGAGAGGUGCUUCAGGUCUUUAUUGAUGCUCCUGGGGAAUAUGGACCAGUGGACUGGCACAGUCUAAGGCAUUUUUGUAUGAUCCUAAAGGGCAGAUGCUGGAAACAAAUCUAAGCGCAAUGACAAAGAAAGGAAGGAUCUAUUCAGAUAUAACACUGCUGGCAAUUUGCAACAUGAACCAUGGAUUAUAUCCAGAUAUAGCUGGUUAGUAAACACACAAAAAGAAAGCUCUGUAAGCACACACCACCUGCUAAUUCUGCCUCAACAAAUAGGGCUGGGACUGCAGCUGCUCAAGAGGUAGAGCAUGUUAGCUCUCACUAUAGGAAAGAAUUGUUAUUGUGUUUGUCCAUACAAUCCUUCAGGAAGGACUUGGUUUUAUUCCCAUUUUACCAAUGAGGAACUGAGCCUGGACUGCCUUGUCAAUACAUGCAGUCUGUUCAGAAAAAUGAUGUAUUUACUUUUGAUGGCAGCAAGCUACCUGCUGGUAGUAGACACUAGGAUUAAAUGUCAGGAAGGAUGGGUAGUCAAUCAGUCAUCCUGGUUCAACUCGGCAGAGGAAACCUUUGAUCAAGGAGAGAAGAUGCAGGAAGAAAUGAAUGCAGUGAAACUGGUACUAGCACAAAAGUCUGAAAACAGUGUAAUAAAGUUUAAAAUGGUAUAGCUUUGGAACAAUCUAUAGAUCGAUCAGACAGAUAUACAGUAGGUAGGAAGGAGAGCAAAACACGUUGGAUUUCUAAGCUUCUUAAAAAUAUUUUAUUUUUUCAAAUAAUCUGUAUUUUAAAUUCUGCAAGGAAAUGGACUGGUGGUCAGUGAAAUUCUUUAAGCAUGGGAAUAAUUGUUUAAUUAUUUUCAAAGGCAGCUCAGAGGAGUGUGUGUUGCCUACUCCAUGGGACAUAACUAAUGUACUGUAUCUGCCACCAUGUAUUGUAUUUCCAUGUUUGCUAGGCUCAACACAGAAGUGGUAAUAUGAGUUUGGAAGCAAAAACCAGCAGACAGACCCUCCCUCAAACCAUUUCCUUAAUCACCUUGAGAUUCAACUUGCCUUGAAUGAGAUCUUAUCUAAAACAACGGCAUCACCAGGUCUUUUCUCUGACUGAUUUUCCUACUUGCCAGUACAAUUUACAAAUGACAGUGUCUUUUGUAAACCUUUAAAUAACCUAUGAAGAAUUUCUAAUGUAUGAGUUGUGUAGUGCCUUUGUUCCAAAGGAUACAUUGCAGAACAAACAUAUUUUUUGA